rnacentral:rRNA from 1 species
AUUGAACGCUGGCGGCAGGCCUAACACAUGCAAGUCGAGCGGAUGAAGGGAGCUUGCUCCUGGAUUCAGCGGCGGACGGGUGAGUAAUGCCUAGGAAUCUGCCUGGUAGUGGGGGAUAACGUCCGGAAACGGGCGCUAAUACCGCAUACGUCCUGAGGGAGAAAGUGGGGGAUCUUCGGACCUCACGCUAUCAGAUGAGCCUAGGUCGGAUUAGCUAGUUGGUGGGGUAAAGGCCUACCAAGGCGACGAUCCGUAACUGGUCUGAGAGGAUGAUCAGUCACACGGGAGCUGGGACACGGUCCAGACUCCUACGGGAGGGAGCAGUGGGGAAUAGUGGACAAUGGGGGAGAGCCUGAUCCAGCCAUGCCGCGUGUGUGAAGAAGGUCUUCGGAGUGUAAAGCAGUUUGAGGUGGGAGGAAGGGCAGUAAGUUAAUACCUUGCUGUUUUGACGUUACCAGGAGAAUAAGCACCGGCUAACUUCGUG